GCUAUUCUUGGCCGGGCCUGCUAGACCUGUUUCUAGUUCGCAGAAGUCCAUCUACUGAAUCUGCUCAUUUUUGUCAUAACUUGAUGGUGCCACCUUCCCCCUUAGUUGGAGUGGGAUAAUGGAGCGAGUCGCACAGAGGUGUCGAGUGAGUCGGACAAUUCUUUUUUCUUUAUUGAGGCAGUAGAUGUAUGUAUUUGGAUACGUUUUCUUCUGAGAAUUCAUUUCGAGCUGCGUCAUAUUCUUCAAAUAAAUAAGCUGUCUGCAGGCUGCAGACUUUCUGUGGGGAUUUCCAGUUCACAUCCUCGGUCAGUGUCAAUAAUCUAUUUCUUUACAUUUCAAGAUACUAAUCCCAUUUUAUUUUAUUUGUCAAAAUAGUCAAGAUGGGUGACAGAAACUUGAUUGAGAAAAACAUUGAUUUAUAACAUCUGUGGAUGCCAAGUGCUCAAUAAACAAAAUACAAGUGAUAACAUUUGGAUGUGUCCUGAAACAUUGGCAGCUUUUUCACAUUAAAUGUGCGUGUAACAAUACAUUGAAUUAACUUUCAAAGUCAUUCACAUCACAUGUAAUCUGAAGGAAAACACAAGCAAUCUUUUACUACACGCUUAGUGUGUUACUCUGGUGUGGGUGGAAAAGAAAAGUAAUAUGUUUCAAUGUUUACAGAAUAAGAGACACUAAGUGGAGAAAAUAAUGGAGUUGAUGGUAAAAGAAGAGAUGAGAAAGAAAAGUAAGAGUUUUCUUCUCUGCUUUCACCUGCUGACUCUUCUCCAACUCGCUGCGCCCUCUUCAGGUAACGAAACACAUCCAGGGAUUCCAGAUCACUUAGUGAAGUUCUACUUACUCACAUUAGAGUUGAACUGAAAACAUGCACAUACACAUAUGUUGUUUCCUCGUGUGAUUCUUUUUUUCUAUUUGAAUAAAUGGAAAGUGAUUUAAAACAGAUUAUAAAAAUGCCUUAAAUGUUAUUAUUAUUAUAUUAUUUUCCACACUUUGAUCUUUCGUACUUCUCUCUUUCUCAAACUCUCUCACACACACACACACACACACACACACACACACGUCCUCCACACGUUAUCUUGCUUUCAGCUCAAAACAUCACCACGUCAGCCGCUGACGGUUUCCGCACUCACCCAGCCGACGUCACAGUGGCUGUUGGAGAACCGGCCGUGUUUCGCUGUGGAGUUCCCGAAGCUUCUCCAGACUUCACAUUCACCUUGCGGGGGGCGCACGGAAACUACCUCCUCACGUGCCCCUCGGGCCACGUGGAAGACGUUCCCCAGGCUCUCUAUGGAAGUUGUGAGGUGAGAAAUGGAGAGUCAUCAGCUGUGUGGACCCUAAAGGGAACUUCUUUCUCCGACAACGGGACACAGGUCUCCUGUCAGCAGCCAAAGAAUCCUAAUAGCGCUGCUGCCGUGCUGCACGUCUACGAUAACGGCACCAGCCACGCCAUUCUCAUUGGUUGUAUCAUUGGCGGCUUCUUUGGCACGUUGUUGGUCUUCGGCUUACUGUACGUCAUGCUGCAGAGAUCUGAGAGGCUGCAGAAGUGCUUCUGGAGCGGAGAAACACCGGAGGAUUCGACCACAAUAGUAACAAAGGAGUAAAAGGAGACGGCUCUCUAUGUUGCUCUCUACCUUCGAACCCACAUGGAAAGAAUGGAAGCGUCAAACGUUUUUGGACAAUCUAAGUGAAAAAGAGCUGUAUUUAUGUCUGGAGGUUAUUCUGUUGAGGCCGGGUCCAUCCUGGACAUCUUCACUUUUACCUUUUUUGUCUUGAAUAACCGGGCCUUGCACACGUUAUAUACAUCCUACCAGUAUAUAAUGUAGCAUGCACACAACAGCACAUGUGGCGGUUACUUUAUAAACUUUAUAUACUAUAAAUGUGUGAAAUGUCUUAUGCGAUGUUAUCAAAGUGGGGAGGGAUUUAGUGUUGAAUGAGGCCCAGAAUAGCUGUUUUGUGCUUCCACAUAUGUAUCACAGCUGUGUUCCCAAAAAACGAUUAAAGGUGAAAUACUAGUCGUGUCCUCGCCAGGCUCGUCCAACCAGUUUAGUAAGUUUCUCUUUCACGGUCGCUCCACUUGAAGGAAGCACUCAGUGCCCAGAUUAGUUUGUUGUUUUCACACUACACUGUGACACGUUCACCUUUCUCAUAGAAUGGAUUGAGAAAAUGUGUCCGAACGUUACAUUUUGAAUGGUCCUCGUGCUUUUCUCAUGUUGUCUUUGCCUAAAACGAGGUGUGUGGUCCUUUGCAAUCGUCCAAACCGAAGCUGCAUUAUAUCAAAACAAAAACUAUUUGCAAACAACUGUGGAUUUCUGUAUCCCUCGACCUUCAGAAGCUGGGGGGACUCGCCGCCAGUGACCCCACACUGACGUGGUCGCGGCGUUGGCGUGUCUGUUGCUCCCCCCUGGUGGUGAGCGCGUUCCAUGCUGUCAGGAACAAACGCUCACUGCCACGGACCCUUCGGCCUUCACGUGCAUUCACCAGCUUCAAGAGGCAGCAGUGUGAGCCGGAUCAAGGCUGCUUUUGUCUCAUCUGGUAGCCGUCAUCCAGCUUCAUUAUAGUCAUUUGCGGUGCGCGGGGUUGAUUCACCCAUUCACAAGUUUGCCAACACGGACAGUUUCUAUCUUUCUUAAAGAGCCAUCGUUGGGUUUAGUCUAAGGUAGCCAAAUUGCUUUCGCCAAGUCCCCUUUUAACUUUGCAAUGCCCUCCAACUGGUUUUUAAUGAUCCUGCUAAUUUGUCCAUAUGACAAAAAAAAACAUGAUACACCAAAACGUUCCUCAAUGACAAUGAUAUGCUAUAAAUUAUAAAUAAAUGCAUUGCAUCUUUAAGGAAACACGCAAUAUCUGGGAAAUCAACGCAUUAAAGUGUUUUUUCACUG
ensembl:lncRNA